AGAACGAACGCUGGCGGCAUGCCUAAUACAUGCAAGUCGAACGAACACUUCGGUGUUAGUGGCGCACGGGUGCGUAACGCGUGGGAAUCUGCCCUUGGGUUCGGAAUAACAGUUGGAAACGACUGCUAAUACCGGAUGAUAUCGAAAGAUCAAAGAUUUAUCGCCCAGGGAUGAGCCCGCGUAGGAUUAGCUAGUUGGUGAGGUAAAGGCUCACCAAGGCGACGAUCCUUAGCUGGUCUGAGAGGAUGAUCAGCCACACUGGGACUGAGACACGGCCCAGACUCCUACGGGAGGCAGCAGUAGGGAAUAUUGGACAAUGGGCGCAAGCCUGAUCCAGCAAUGCCGCGUGAGUGAUGAAGGCCUUAGGGUUGUAAAGCUCUUUACCCGAGAUGAUAAUGACAGUAUCGGGAAGAAUAACGCCCCGGACUAACCUCCGUGCCAGCAGCCGC
rnacentral:rRNA from 1 species